rnacentral:rRNA from 1 species
UACGUAGGGACCAAGCGUUGUUCGGAUUUACUGGGCGUAAAGGGCGCGUAGGCGGCGUGACAAGUCACUUGUGAAAUCUCUGAGCUUAACUCAGAACGGCCAAGUGAAACUGUUGUGCUAGAGUGCAGAAGGGGCAAUCGGAAUUCUUGGUGUAGCGGUGAAAUGCGUAGAUAUCAAGAGGAACACCUGAGGUGAAGACGGGUUGCUGGGCCGGCACUGACACUGAGAGACGAAAGCUAGGGGAGCGAAUGGG